UUAUACUCGUAUUCGAUAUAUCGUAUAUCCGAUCAGAUAUGGUGAUCAAGUCUCUACCGCAGAACCGUAAAUUUUGCGACUACGAUUGUCAACUCCUUUUGU
rnacentral:ncRNA from 1 species